CUUUAGAGUUUGAUCCUGGCUCAGGACGAACGCUGGCGGCGUGCUUAACACAUGCAAGUCGAACGAUGAACCGCUUUCGGGCGGGGAUUAGUGACGAACGGGUGAGUAACACGUGGGCAAUCUGCCCUGCACUCUGGGACAAGCCCUGGAAACGGGGUCUAAUACCGGAUAUGACCGUCUGCCGCAUGGUGGAUGGUGUAAAGCUCCGGCGGUGCAGGAUGAGCCCGCGGCCUAUCAGCUUGUUGGUGAGGUAGUGGCUCACCAAGGCGACGACGGGUAGCCGGCCUGAGAGGGCGACCGGCCACACUGGGAUCUGAGACACGGCCCAGACUCCUAGCGGGAGGCAGCAUGUGGGGAAUAUUGCACAAUGGGCGAAAGCCUGAUGCAGCGACGCCGCGUGAGGGAUGACGGCCUUCGGGUUGUAAACCUCUUUCAGCAGGAAGAAGCAAAGUGACGUACUC
rnacentral:rRNA from 1 species